rnacentral:rRNA from 1 species
GUUGAACGCUGGCGGCAGGCCUAACACAUGCAAGUCGAACGGUAACAGGAAGAAGCUUGCUUCUUUGCUGACGAGUGGCGGACGGGUGAGUAAUGUCUGGGAAACUGCCUGAUGGAGGGGGAUAACUACUGGAAACGGUAGCUAAUACCGCAUAACGUCGCAAGACCAAAGAGGGGGACCUUCGGGCCUCUUGCCAUCGGAUGUGCCCAGAUGGGAUUAGCUAGGAGGUGGGGUAACGGCUCACCUAGGCGACGAUCCCUAGCUGGUCUGAGAGGAUGACCAGCCACACUGGAACUGAGACACGGUCCAGACUCCUACGGGAGGCAGCAGUGGGGAAUAUUGCACAAUGGGCGCAAGCCUGAUGCAGCCAUGCCGCGUGUAUGAAGAAGGCCUUCGGGUUGUAAAGUACUUUCAGCGGGGAGGAAGGGAGUAAAGUUAAUACCUUUGCUCAUUGACGUUACCCGCAGAAGAAGCACCGGCUAACUCCGUG